rnacentral:lncRNA from 1 species
UUAGAUAACUUAACAUGUGCCCUUAGGGCACAAGUUAACAUGACCCUUUAACUAAUCACAGAAUUUUCUUUAAUUAAAUAAUUAUACAUAUAUUGCAGAAUUUCAAUUUCUACAUAUAUUAUACACACACACACAUAAAUCUUGACAACAAUUCCACAACAUAAUUAUCAUUAUAAAUAUGACAUAUAAUUAACAACUUGUGUUUAAUUUGUAGGUCUAUUCAACCUAAAACAACUUAAUUUAUAUAUUAUAGUAUAUGGGUAGGAGGACUCUUAUACUUUAAUUUAUUAAUACAUAUUAUAUUUGCCAUUAAAAAAACUUUAUUUUCUCAUCACUAAAAAGUCCUGUAGUGAUUUUUUGGUUGCAACAUUAUUCUUCAUCAGAUUUGUAGAGAAUGUCCUCCAAGCUGGUCAUUGGCUGAAAUAAUAGAUGGAAAAUAAAUACAAUAUGUUAUAAUUGAUGAAAUGUAGAAGCAUCAUAAAAUAAAAAAAUAUAAUAUACUGUUAAAUAGAGGACUUAUAUAUUUUUUGGUACAAUAAAAAAAAACUUAUAUACUAUUAAAUCUUUUAUUAUAAAGUAGCAACACUUUAAUUUGUUUAAGGCAAUUUAAUUUAAUUCCUCACCAAUAUCAUUGAGUAAUUUUCUGCUUCCAGGAAUACUUUUAUGAGCAUUCUUUUUUAUCCAAGGAUAUUUUGCAUGGAAAGACCUCCAAUCAACUUUAGACUCUGCAUUAUUAAAUAGAGAAAUUUAAACUUACAUGGAAUGUAAAAAAAAGCAUAAUAGAAAUUUGAAGGUAUUAAAUGGGUUGUUUUUGGAGGAAGAUUAACAUUUCAAGCAGAUUUAAAGAGCAUGUUUGGAUUUGAUUUUUUUUUUUAACUUA